AAUAUUGGACAAUGGGCGAAAGCCUGAUCCAGCCAUCCCGCGUGUGUGAAGAAGGCAUUCGGAUUGUAAUGCACUUUAAGAUGGGCGGAAGGGUUGUAGAUUAAUACUUUGCAAGUUUGAUUUUACCGACAGAAUAAGCACCGGUUACCUUCGUGCCCGCAGCCGCGGUAAUACGAAGGGUGGAAGCGUUAGUCGGUAUUAUUGGGCGUAAAGCGCGCGUAGGUGGUUCGGUAAGUUGGAUGUGAAAGCCCCGGGCUCAACCUGGGAACUGCAUCCAAAACUGGCGAGCUAGAGUACGGUAGAGGGUGGUGGAAUUUCCUGUGUAGCGGUGAAAUGCGUAGAUAUAGGAAGGAACACCAGUGGCGAAGGCGACCACCUGGACUGAUACUAACACUGAGGUGCGAAAGCGUGGGGGGCAAACAGG
rnacentral:rRNA from 1 species